rnacentral:lncRNA from 1 species
AGUUUGGGGAAUCCGAGCAAGAUUGUCAAAAAAUAAAAAGGCUAGAGUUAUAAAGGAGAUCAACUUGUAUAGGAAGAAAUCCAAACUUGGAAGGCAGAUCUCUGACAUUUGUAGAUCUGGGGUGGAAGAGUCGGUGGGAGGAGUAAAUUCAGUCCAACCAAUGGUUUCAAGAGGAGUAAUGGGGAGGCUUGGCUCUCUAAAGUUGACUAUAUGGGGAGUUUUUCUAGUCAUCUAUUAUCAUCGCUCGGGCCAUUUCUCCCAUCAAGACAACAAACACUUUCUUUGUCCCUGGAGCCCCUCACAAACCAAGCUAUUUUUAGAUUUUUGCCUUCCUAGAAACAAAAAUCUAUCAGCCCACAAACAAACACCACAAAAGAAAUCCCUAUCCUCUGUUUUAUGCGUUGAAGGCUGGUGGUACAAGAUAAGUUCGUACGGAAGAUCUGGUAAUAAGGUUGGAGGAAUCGCUGGACAUAUCAAAUUUAGAGAGUGGGCCAAAACUGGCAGGAGCAUUCAUUCAUAACAGGGAAAAUCCCAAACAGAUGAGCAAUAAAAACAAUCCUUCAGAAUGCGUGGGCUCUCUUCGGAGAAGCAAAAAUUUCUUAUAUUAAGGAUAAUGUUUUCACUGUGGUGGUUCAAGAUGAAGAUAUGGCUGAUCAGAUUAUAAACGAAGGUCCCUGGUCUGUAACGGGUUUCUGUUUCAAUGUUCAACGCUGGCCAAGCAACAUGGCCAUAGAGGAACUGCCACUCCACAAGGUGGCUUACUGGAUCCAAGCCCAUGGGAUCCCUUUGAAUUUACUCACUGCAGGGAACGCUCUAGAGAUUGGUGAAAGCUGGGAGAGGUAAAAGAAGUUUAAGACCCUUGGGAGAAAGGUUCAAGAAGCUUCUUGCUCAUGAGAGUUAUGAUUGAUUCCAACAAUCCCCUCCCUCAAAUAUUCGGCUGCCUCGUGCUUAAUAACAUGGUACAUGGGUGGAAUUCAAAUUUGAGCGACUAUCAGAUUUCUGUUUCAACUGUGGUAAGCUUGGUCAUCUUCAGAGGAAUUGCAGCUCCAGUAAUAGCCAAUCGGACAACUCUGAACCUACAGCCUAUUGUGAAUGGAUGAAAACCAGAGCAAUUUGUGAUAGUAGAGCUCUAAUCAACACACAAGCUCUGAGAGGAGUUCGGAGGAGAGCAGGACAAAUAGGAGGGGUUAACCCUGGGGUUCUGGUGGCGCGUGUACACCAAUCCGGAGAUGGAAGCAGUGGUAUGCCCCAUGUCACACAACUACCAACCAGUACAAAUCAAGAAGCUUGGAAAAUGAG